UAGGGAAUCUUGCGCAAUGGGCGAAAGCCUGACGCAGCCAUGCCGCGUGAAUGAUGAAGGUCUUAGGAUUGUAAAAUUCUUUCACCGGGGAAGAUAAUGACGGUACCCGGAGAAGAAGCCCCGGCUAACUUCGUGCCAGCAGCCGCGGUAAUACGAAGGGGGCUAGCGUUGCUCGGAAUUACUGGGCGUAAAGGGCGCGUAGGCGGAUAUUUAAGUUGGGGGUGAAAGCCCGGGGCUCAACCUCGGAAUAGCCUUCAAUACUGGAUAUCUUGAGUUCGGGAGAGGUGAGUGGAAUGCCGAGUGUAGAGGUGAAAUUCGUAGAUAUUCGGCGGAACACCAGUGGCGAAGGCGACUCACUGGCCCGAUACCGUACGCUGAGGCGCGAAAGCGUGGGGAGCAAACAGGAUUAGAUACCCUGGUAGUCCACGCCGUAAACGAUGAGUGCUAGUUGUCGGCAUGCAUGCAUGUCGGUGACGCAGCUAACGCAUUAAGCACUCCGCCUGGGGAGUACGGUCGCAAGAUUAAAAACUUAAAGGAAUUGACGGGGGUCAUAGCUGUUUCCUG
rnacentral:rRNA from 1 species